GACAGAGGGUGCAAACGUUGUUCGGAAUCACUGGGCGUAAAGCGUGUGUAGGCUGCUUUGUAAGUCGGCUGUGAAAGCCCCGAGCUCAACUCGGGAAGUGCACUCGAUACUGCAAGGCUUGAGUACUGGAGAGGUUGGUGGAAUUCUCGGUGUAGAGGUGAAAUUCGUAGAUAUCGGGAAGAACAUCGGUGGCGAAGGCGGCCAACUGGACAGAUACUGACGCUGAGACACGAAAGCGUGGGGAGCAAACAGG
rnacentral:rRNA from 1 species